GGUUGAUCCUGCCAGUAGUCAUAUGCUUGUCUCAACGAUUAAGCCAUGCAUGUCUCAGUGUAAACUUUUAAACAGUGAAACUGCGAAUGGCUCAUUAAAACAGUUAUAGUUUAUUUGGUAAUCAUUUUUACAUGGAUAACCGUGGGAAUUCUAGGGCUAAUACAUGCGUAAACCCGUAAGGGAUGUGUUUAUUAGAUUAACACCAACACUGUGCUUGCACAGUUCCAUUGGAGUGAUAAUAACCGAUCGAAUCGCACGCUUUAUGUGGCGAUAAACCAUUCAAGUUUCUGAC
rnacentral:rRNA from 1 species